GUUCAGCUGAUGAAUCCCAAACAGAACGAAAUGCGUAUCCUGGAU
rfam:Schistosoma rodhaini strain Burundi genome assembly, scaffold: SROB_scaffold0005559